UUGCAGCCUCAGAACCCCGAAUCCGAUUCAUUGAUGUCCCACAACCUCAAGAUCGACCUCCGCAAGAGAUGUACAAGUCACGAGCACAAAUCUUCUCUCUUUACAUUGAGAGUCACGUCCCCAGUGUCAAGAAAAUCAUCACCAACCUCGUCUCCUCUAGUGCUAAUAGUUCAGAUUCGAUUCGUGUUGCUGCUUUGGUAGUUGAUUUAUUCUGUGUGUCCAUGAUUGAUGUGGCCAAAGAACUCAAUAUUCCUUCUUAUCUUUUCCUGACAAGCAAUGCAGGAUAUCUAGCUUUCAUGCUCCACCUUCCAAUUCUUCAUGAAAAAAACCAGAUUGCUGUUGAAGAAUCCGAUCCCGAUUGGUCAAUCCCAGGUAUGUUUGUGACAAUCACAAGUGUUUUUUAAUGCGUUUAACAUGAAAAGUCAUAAGGGUUUCUGAGUCAUAAAGACUUCUGGAGAAGCACAUGCAAGUGGUUUCUUCACGAAGCAUUUCAAGUCAUUUUUCAGGAAGCAAUUGACUUUUUAAUAAACAAAAAUCAGCAUGUCAUAUGAAAUCAUUUCUAGCAUAGAUGUUUAGAGUAAAAGUGCUUUCUGCAAAAUGAAAUUUCACUGUAUCAAACGAGUACAAUGCUAUCUCCACCAAAAAAGACCAACAUGUCCAAUGUUUAAAGAUGCGCCCCCUUAGACUUCAUUGCAGUUGAAAAGUUGUGAUUUCUUGGAGUUUGAUUCUUGCACUGAAAAUUUUCGACACUUAGGUAUUGUCCACCCGGUUCCUCCAAGAGUUUUGCCUGCGGCUUUGACAGAUGGUAGGCUCUCCGCUUACAUCAAGUUGGCUUCAAGAUUUAGAGAGACUAGAGGCAUUAUAGUAAACACAUUUGUAGAGUUAGAGACACAUGCUAUCACAUUGUUUUCCAAUGACGACCGAGUCCCUCCAGUGUACCCAGUCGGGCCAGUGAUCGACCUGGAUGACGGUCAGGAACAUUCCAACCUAGACCAGGCACAGCGCGACAAGAUCAUCAAAUGGCUUGAUGACCAGCCUCAGAAAUCUGUUGUGUUUUUGUGUUUUGGUAGCAUGGGAAGCUUUGGGGCAGAGCAAGUCAAGGAAAUAGCUGUAGGGCUUGAACAAAGUGGGCAGAGGUUUUUAUGGUCCCUGCGCAUGCCGUCACCCAAAGGCAUAGUCCCAAGUGAUUGCUCAAAUCUUGAAGAAGUUUUGCCAGAUGGGUUCUUGGAGAGGACCAAUGGGAAGAAAGGGUUGAUAUGUGGGUGGGCCCCACAGGUGGAGAUCCUGGCCCACAGUGCAACCGGAGGGUUCUUGUCGCACUGCGGGUGGAACUCGAUAUUGGAGAGCUUGUGGCAUGGCGUCCCUAUUGCGACGUGGCCCAUGUAUGCAGAGCAGCAACUCAAUGCUUUUAGGAUGGUGAGGGAGUUGGGGAUGGCGUUGGAGAUGAGGCUGGAUUACAAGACAGGCAGCGCUGAUGUGGUGGGGGCGGACGAGAUUGAGAAGGCUGUGGUUGGUGUGAUGGAGAAGGAUAGUGAGGUGAGGAAGAAGGUGGAAGAGAUGGGAAAGAUGGCUAGAAAAGCUGUGAAGGAUGGAGGGUCUUCAUUUGCUUCUGUUGGGAGAUUUAUUGAGGAUGUGAUUGGUCAGAAUUAGGGUUUUAAGUAGUAUGGGUUGUUAAUUUUUUAAGUUUAAGAACUCAUGAAUGUACUAAUUUUUCCUUGUUCUUGUAUGUUGAUUAUGAAUUUAUCAGCUUGUAAUUUAUAUGUUUUAGUUCUACAAUGAUAAAUCAAACAAAACGAUUUUGUAAAUUUGUUAGGAAAGAGGGUUUUGGAGUUUGUGAUAUUGAGCCUCCACGUUGUCGGAUGAGAUUUAAGUUCAACUCUCGCGGAUGAAAGUAGUUGAAUAACAUUGCUUACAGAAAACGGGAUUUUGGUUAUCACAUAUUAAUCAAUGACAUAAUGCAUAUUAAGGAUGGUUGGGAACCAUAUGAAAAAUAUAGAUCAAGAAGCUUCCAGAGGUUUUACAAAUUGACUUCAUUUCUUGCAGACCAAGAGCUUCAGUUUAUCAUUUAUUCAUUUCUUGCAGGCCAUCCUUGCUAGCAAAUCAACCAUCUCCUGCAACUAAAAGUCAAUGCUAAUGAAGUUUCAAUCUUGCUGUUAACGUUUUCGGCUCCAACUCAAGCAUAUGGCUACACGCCUUUUCAGCAAGCUGAACAUUCCCAUGAAGUCCAAAGGCCCGAAGAACAGCCCCCCAUACAGAAGCAGUAGGAGCUAUUGGCAUUUUCUCAAUCAACUCUAUAGCUUCCUCCAGAUUUCCAGAACAACCUAAAAUAUCGACCAUGCAAGCAUAGUGCUUUACACCAGGCACAACCCCGAAAACUGGCUCCAUUUGAAAGAGAAACGUUCUUCCUUCGUCCACCAAUCCAGCAUGGUUGGUGAGUGUCAUGGAAUUGGGCUUCACCUUGGUUUCUAGCAUUCUUGAGAAACAAUCCAAUGCAUCCCUCCCUUUCCCAUGCAUUGCCAGAGCAGCAAUCAUAGCACUCCAUACGAACACAUCUCUUCUUUCCACUGAUUUAAACACCUCAAGUGCCUUAUCCAGAUCCCCACACUUUGCAUACAUGUUGAUAAGCGAGGUUGUGAGGUGACAAUUCAUCUUCAUACCCUGCUUCUUUGUGUAAACAUGUAUCAACCCACCAAGACAAUUGCUCUCAAUUGAGCACAGGCUGCCAGAGUACUAACUAGAGUGACAUCGUCAGGUUUCUGGCUCUUCCUUUUCUGCAAGUCAUGAAAAUCGCCAAAGCCUCCUUUGGCUUGUCACUUUGUUCAUAAGACGAAGUGAGGACAUUCCAUGCAGCAAUGUCUUGACCAGGCAUUGCAGCGAAAACCCACCAAGCCUCAUCAUAAUUUCCUGACUGAGCAUACCCAUCAAGCAUUGUAGUCCACGAGAAAAUAUCCUUCUCCGGCAUCCUAUCAAACAAUCAUUUCGCUUCCUCAAUACUCCCACAUAUCACAUACAUAUCAAGCAUAGCAUAGCAUUGUUCAAAGUCAAGUUCUCUCCAAUUUCAUUCCUUUCAAUACACGAACAAAUCCACCUCCCAAACUCCAAAUCCACCUUCUUUGCGCAAGCUGACAACACACUCACCAUCAUCACAUCAUUCGGCUUCACAUUCUCCGCCUCCAUCUCCGUAAACAACUCCAAGGCCUCCUCUGGACAAUUCCCUUGCGCAAAAGCCGUGAUCAUAGAAUUCCAAGACACAACAUCUUUCUUAGUAGUCUUCACGAAAACCUGCCGUGCCAAAUCUAAAUCCCCGCACGAUCCAUACAAAUGAACCAGCGAAUUGAAAAUUUAAACGUCCGAACCAAGCGAGGCCUUUAUCACCAUGCCAUGAAACCCUCUUCCGAGCUCAAAAAUCCGGAGCUCUGAAGCCACAUUGAUCAUAAACGGGUAAGUAAAAAAAUUGGAACUUUCCAUACAGCGAUAAAGCAUUUCCAAAAUUACAAGGAUGCUUUCAGUCGGGUCGGUGCUCGACGCAUAAGCGUGAAUGAGGGUGUUCCAGGAGUAGAGAUUGUUAGAAUAUGAGCAUGAGUAUGAAUUGGUAAACUUGGUUGUAGGAUUAGAGAUUGAGUAGGAAGUCUUGUUGGGAAUGAAUUUGUAAAUCCAUGUUGUAACUGGACUGCUAUUUGGGAUGAAUUGGUAUUCUAUAUGGAUCUUAAUAGGAGAAUCCUUAUAGAAUUUGGCUAAGAUUGUAUAGUAUAUAUAUGGUGGCCUCUGCUCUUGCAGUGUGUACUCAAUAAAAGACUAAGACCUAUUAUUAGUUGAGAGUCUCGUUCACUGAAGAGAGGAGAAGGUGCACCACGACUUUGCUGCAGAAAUCAGACAUGGCAGCAGCUUCGAACUCUUCUGCAGAUAUGUUUUCUCUCUGUGCAUUGCUUUAUGGUUUAUGGUUUUGUGUUUUGAUCACGGUAACUUGCUUUGCAUGAUCCUGGUGUUGUGUUUAUUCUAACAUGUGGUAUCAGAGCCAAUCCCUGGCCGGAAGUGUGCCGAUGAGGACGUCGGGCCCCUAAGGGGGGUGGAUUGUGACAUCCCACAUCGGCCAAGGAAGUGAUCCUUAAAUGUAUAUUCUCAUCCCUAUCUAGCACGAGGCCUUUUGGGAGCUCACUGGCUUCGGGUUUCGUAGGAACUCCGAAGUUAAGCGAGAAGGAGGUCAGAGCACUCCCAGGAUGGGUGACCCACUGGGAAGUUGCUCGUGAGUUCCCAAAAACAAAACCGUGAGGGCGUGGUCGGGGCCCAAAGCGGAUAAUAUCGUGCUACGGUGGUGGAGCGGGCCCGAGAAAUGGUCCGCCCCAGGCAGGGAUGUGACAAAUGGUAUCAGAGCCUUGGGUUCAUAAAUUAUAAGUUCUGUGAUUAAAACCAAUAGGUUCCAAAACCAUAAAUAAUAUUGAGGAAAAUAUAUCUUCAUUGCCGCGUUAGGGAAUCGAACACAGGUUCUAGUAUAAUGCCUUGCGAAUAACGAAAAAACAUGUUUGAAAAAUAUAACCUUUUGAAUUUCAAAGGAUGUUACGGUUGGAUUUUCUGCAAAUCCAAGGGAAGGGGUUUUCUUUCCGAUUGGGUCUUUUCGAGUAAGAACAUUAACCAACAAUACAUGCUUCUGAGUUACAAUCUUACAACUGAUAUGAUCAAUUUGAAUGGUUAUUCCGCUGCACUGUUUAAAAAAUUGGAUCUGUGCAAGGUAUGUUUGAUAAAUUGCAAAGUUUUAUUCUUGCCUUCUUAACGGUUGUUCUGCAAGAUUGAGUCCAGGGUUUAUAUUAGAUCUUAAAGGAUAAGAUUAUGAUAACAAAAUCUAUAUGGAUUCAAUUGAAUUGAAACUGUUUUGCAUAAAUUUUAGACCUUGGGUGUUCGAUCAUGUGUUAUCCGCAAUUAUUUUGAAAUCUGCAGAUUACUAAUGCACCUUUAUGUUUUCUGUUAAACCAUGAAUGAUGGUUAUCAUGCAUGAGACAUCUCUUGACUGUCUGUUGUUGCAUAUCUUGUCAUGGUUUUCGCUAAGUUUUGAUAAGUCAAUUUUUCUAUGUAUGCUUAUCAACUAUAUGUUGUUAAGUCUAUAUGUAUGAUUUAUUGAUGAGAGUUGUGAUGUGCUAAACUGCAAAAGGAAAUCAGGAACCUAACUGGUUCAUAUUUGUGAUUUCUUCUGCAGCAUCCGCCAUGUCUCUCAAGACUUUGAACUUAGCUUAUAUACCAACUCUCAGCUGAAGGUGUCUUAUAAUACACAAGACAAGAGUUGGGAUAUAGAUGAGCUCAUCGCACAAUGUGUUCAAGAGGAGACUCGGCAAAAGCUAGAAAGAGGCAAGGAUGUUGAGACUGUGAAUUUUGUGCAAGUAGGAAAGGGGAAGAAAUUCAACAAUGCUGGAAAUAAUUCAGGUAAGAAUUUCAAGUACUCCAAACCUUCUGAUAAGACUGGUACUUCUACUAAAAUAUUUGAUAUUUCUAAAGGGUCUAACAAUCUUAAACCAAAAGUUAAAAAUGUUGCCAAGCUUAAGUGUUUUUUUUCUGCAAAACUCGAGGUCAUCUAAGAAAGGAUUGUGAAUUGUUUAAGGAUUAUUUGAGAGCUAAUGGCAAAGAGGUAGUUAAUGUCUGUGAAGAGUCUUUUGAUCAGUGGGAGUAGUUUGUUUUUCUGUUUUACAAAGAGCAAUUGCUGCAUUAAGGACAAUUGGAAAAUAAAGUUUGAGAAGUGUUGCUACUGUGAAGUUCGAAGAGCUGGUGUGGCAGUUUUGUUCUUCUCUAAAGUUAAGUUUAUGUUUAGCUAGUUUAAUUAUCAAUUAGUAUAAUUGUUAGCUAGGUUUAUUGCAUUCAGAGAUUCAAUUUUUGUAAUUGAUUGGUCUGAUAUAUAUAUGUUUCCGCUACUGAGUAUUGGUACUCAUCUAAUAAAUGGUAUGUAAUUCUUGAAAAUCAGAUCAGAGACAUGAAACAUAAAGCUUACAUCUUGUAUAAUUUUAAAUUCCUGAUAUGAUGUUUCAAUAACAGUCUUUUCCCAAGGCUCGUUACUUUAAAAUUUUAAAGUUUUGCAGUUUUGGAUGGUGGUCUUAUUGUAGAGGAAGUUUUGUUUGAUGCUUUGGAAACAGUUUGGCUGUUUUAAGCUUAUGAUUAGUAAAUCGUUUUAAGUCAAGGUUAUGUUGCUUUCCUAUAAGAUCGAUUUAUGUUUUGGUCUUUUUGAAAAGUGGGAGCAUAUUAUGUGAUUGACUGUUUAAUAUCAGUUUAUGUUAUGAGUCAUAUUUGCAGUCUGGAUAUGUGUGAACUUAGAAUCAAUACUGCAUUUUGGUUGUGGUUUAUGAUUCUCUGUUUCCAUGUUUUGGAGUGUAAUAGAAUGAUGGUCAUAACGAUGGAUUCUCAGGUGAGGCUCUGCAGUCACUUCUUAUAAAUUGGAGAAGUUCAUGUCUGAAAUUGAUCUCAUGUUAAAGUGGGAGAAAAUGUAAUAAUAUAAACAUGAGAUUGGGUGUUUUUUUACGGUGAAUGGUUAAGUCCAAUUAGAAUAAGAAAGCUUUAUGAGAAGCUGUGAACAAAUCCUUGUUUGUGAAGGGUUCUGUUAAAAAUAUUUGAACUGAUAUGGCUUGGAAAACAUAAGUUGUUUUCUAUAAGGAUUGUAAUAGGAAAUCCUUGUCAAGUUAUAAGGACAUAUAUAUGUUUUGGAUUCAGAUUGAUGCUUGAGAAUCUUUGUGAUUUGACUUGAGCAGUUGGUUGAAUUCAUAUAUUGGUAAUUCUUUAUAUUGGAAUGAAUUACUAGUUGAUAAUUUUACUAUCUGUUGGACUUAAUUGUUUCGAAUUAAGUUAAGGAAUAGUGGGAGUGGAUAUUUAGGUCCACUGAUGUCAAUUUGAUCAUAAUGUUAUAAGUGCAGAUUUAACAUAAGCAAUCUGAGGGCUUUAGACUGAUUAUGAUGUAGCUCAAAGGGGCGUAGUGAUCACCCUAUUAUAGUCGUAAUCGAACUAGUUUUCUCGGUUCAUACUUGCUCAAGUGGGAGAAUGUUAGAAUAUGAGCAUGAGUAUGAAUUGGUAAACUUGGUUGUAGGAUUAGAGAUUGAGUAGGAAGUCUUGUUGGGAAUGGAUUUGUAAAUCCAUGUUGUAACUGGACUGCUAUUUGGGAUGAAUUGGUAUUCUAUAUGGAUUUUAAUAGGAGAAUCCUUAUAGAAUUUGGCUAAGAUUGUAUAGUAUAUAUAUGGUGGCCUCUGCUCUUGCAGUGUGUACUCAAUAAAAAACUAAGACCUAUUAUUAGUUGAGAGUCUCGUUCACUGAAGAGAGGAGAAGAUGCACCACGACUUUGCUGCAGAAAUCAGACAUGGCAGCAGCUUCGAACUCUUCUGCAGAUAUGUUUUCUCUCUGUGCAUUGCUUUAUGGUUUAUGGUUUUGUGUUUUGAUCACGGUAACUUGCUUUGCAUGAUCCUGGUGUUGUGUUUAUUCUAACAGAGAUUUGGUUGGGGAAUUUGGUCCAACACUUGGCGGGCAUAGUCGAGGCUGGAGAAGGAAGAGAGGGCACAGACGGUGAUAAGCUUGCUGGCGGAGUAGGGGUCGAAGAGAAGGCCUGUACGGAGCAUUUGGGAGUGGACUUGCUUCAGCUGCUUGAUGCUGGUGCAGUGGUCGAUUGAGGAAAGAGGUGGGUCGCUUGAGAAACGAAGGUCGUUAGUGGCGGUUGGGGAUGUAGGGUUUGUGGGUGACGUGGCAGAGAUAUAAGGGGGUGCUUAGAGUUGCCAUCUCUUCUGUGGUCACUCUCGCACUAGCUGUUUUCACUUGAGGUUUUUUAAAAGGAAAACUAAUGAAAAAGAUUUGAAAGCUUUGAAUUUUAACGAUAAGGACAAAAUAAAGGGUAAAGUGAAUAGUAUUAGGAUUUACUUUUUAGUGUAAAAAUGUGAUUUUUCGUUAAAGUGAACAGUACCGGGAGUUUUUCGUUAAAGUUCCCUUUUUAAAAUUCUUUGAGGAGAUUCGAUCUUGUGAAAACGUUUUUAUGUUCCGCAUCGUGAAAACGUUCUUCGAUUUAAAAUUAACUUUAGCCGGUUCGGACUAAAAAAACCAUCGGUUUCACUUGUUGAGGCAAGAAUGCAUGACUUGUUAACUUAGAUGUAACCCAUGCCAAAUUAAUUGUAUUUCAGGCCGAACAUGAAUCCGUUUGAAGCUACUCAUAUUGUACUAGAGAAGCCAAUGCAUGAACAAUGGAUUCAUUUUACCUCCUCACCUAACUACUCGAGAUUAGGGAGUAGGUUUAGGUGGGAAAGUUUUAGAAACAUUUCCAUACUUUGUGCCGGAAGUAUUUCACUUAAUUUUCUUUUUAGUUUUGAACUUUGGCGAUAUUUAUUAUGUGCUUUUAAGACCCAAGACUCCAUUAUUCGAUUAUUCACUUAAUCUUGUUAGUUAUAGGUGUUUUUCUUCUAGUAUUCAAGGCUCCAAGAACACAGAUGUUCUAAUUAAUGUGGCUACACCUAAUAUUUUGAGUUUAGCAAACAUAAGAUCCGGGUAAAUGGAAAAGAAAAACCAAAAAAUCAAUUCCACUUUAAUAAAACACGGUAUAAAAAUAGACCUGAUUAUGAAAUUUAUUAUUUGAAUGAGAAUUAAGAACAAGAAAAUUCAAAGUCAAAGUAUUAAAAAAAAUUCUCGUUUGAAAAAUCCACCAAGUUUGACUACUAUUUUUUAAGGGAAUUUUAACGAAAAAUUCAUGGUACUGUUGACUUUAAUGAAAAACCAUAUUUUUACACUAAAAAGUCAAUCAUGAUACUAUUCACUUUCCCCUUUAUUUUGUCCUUAUCGUUAAAACUCAAAGUUUUAAAACCAAUUUUAUUAGUUUUCCUAUUUUUUUAAAUGAUACAAAGAAAGAUGUAUGUUGCCGUAUCUUUUCGCAUCUAUUACUACUAGAAAAAAUGGGAUGUGAACUAGUGGGCUUAAAUUCAUUGUAUGGGGCUCGGACUAUAUUGGUUUUUAUUCUCAGGAAAGGAUUUGGAGAGGAUUCUUUCCAUCGAAUCUAACAAGACACACAAUUCGAAUAUUUGAAAUUUGAUCAAACGGCUAAAGUUAUUAUAAUUUUUAAAGUGGGUCUUUAUUUGUAAUCGUUAGAUCAAAUUUCAAAGACCCAUAUUGUGUGCCUUGGUGAACUUGGUGGAAAAUAUCAUUUCCCUUGAUUCACAUUGGUUUUAUGAGUAACGCUACACUUACUAUAUUUAUAUUGUAUUUUUUAAUAGAAGUAUGACUAACCAAUACACGUGUAUCUCGUCUCUAUUAGAAAGUGAUAUAAAUAUUGUAUGAAAAAUAUGGUAAAAAUAGCAUUUUUGUAGUUUUAUUUGAGUGAGGGGGCAUGUGCCCAAUCUUGCAUUAGCUAAGAGAGAUUUUUUAGUGUGUUCAGAAUAAACAGUGGGGUAAGUGUAAUAAUAUAACUAGUUGAAAUUUGCUUUUUCAAAGUUCCAACCAAUUAUACUAAAACAAUUAGUGUACUGAGUUGCCAUUUAGUACUACAGUCAAGUGGUAUUCAUCUUCACUUGUAAGUGAGAUGUCUUAGUUUCGAUUCUCGUCAAAAAUGAGUUUAAACCACAUUAUUGCUAGCUCAUUGUGAGGCUAAAUUCACCCUAUCUUAAUGUAGAUAAUAUCACUCGUUUAAAAAAAAAAAUGUAUUGAGACAUAUUUCUGGCAUCGAAAAAUUUCUCCCAGAGCAGAUUCUCUGCCCUCCCACUUCCCAUUAUCAUCUCGCGCUCUUCUGUUUGUGUGGUCACGGUUAAGUCACAUCAACAUUUUUUUUAUAUAGAUAAUAAAACAAAAAUAAAUAGUAAUAUAAAAUAUUAAUAUAAUUUAAUUAUGAUCAUACAAAACAAGAGAGUACGCAGAAAGUGGAAUGACACCUCCAUUUCUUCCAGUGAGAUAAUUGACAGACUAAGUAAGCAAUGAUGUAGGAAUUGACAGAGUACGUAAGCAAUGAUGUAGGGGAGGGCCAUAUAAUAUAUAAGUUUUAUAUAUACAUCCUUUUGCCGUACUCUUUUUUGCAUUUUGCAGUUUAAUACGUAAUUCAAAUUAAGCAUUUUUAUCCAAUAGAAGAACAUCACUAUAUUUAUGUGUGUGGUUGAUGUCUCUGUUCACAAAAGAAGUGUUCCUCUUUUAAUGAUUUUUUAUAAGGGUAAUGCAAUGACGUGUCAUCAAUAAAAAAAUAAAUACUUUAAUUAAUACUUAAGUAAUAAUUUAAUCAUCAACAACUAUAUUAUUCUAUUUACAAAAUUUAAUUUUAAAUUUUAAUAUCUCUAGUAUUACUCUUUUUAUAAUUACUAAAGUUGCAAUAUCCUACAUGAUAAUUUCAAAUGAUCAAUUGAUUCGGUCAAAUGCAAUUGAUGGUGGUAAUGCAAUAUCCUACAAGAUAAUGGUGGUUAGGUACCAUCUAGCUAGAAAAUUAAGGGCAUGGUGUCCUAUUUAAUUUUUUUUUAUCAUUUUUAAAAACAUUUCUUAAGAACAUUUUUUGAAAAUAAAUUUCUUUAAUACUCAAAAACUUGAUUGGUUUGUAAUUUAAAAUUUUUAAAUCUUACGACUUAAACUAGACAAAGAGAAAGAAGGGAGAAGAUAGGACGAGAUAGAGAGGAAGAUGAGUGAGAGAAAGAACCGAAACAAUGAAGAGAAUUGGAGGAGAAACGAAAAAGUUAAAAGAAAAAAAAAGGAAAGAGAAAGAAGAAAAGAGAGAGAUAGAUUUGGAGUGUGAAGGGAUGAUGAAGAGAAAAGAAAUGAGUGAGUUUAAGUUUAAAAAUUCUAAAAACUCACUUUUUAUAUUUUUAGAGAAUAGACGAUAUUUUUUAGUUAGUCUUAAGUUCAGUUUUUUAAAAUAGUUAUACCAAAUAAGUUUUUAAAGUCUAAAACUUUAAGAUUAUUUUUUAAUUUAAAAAGUGGAAUUUAAGUUGAAUACCAAGCCCUAAACUUUUAUGUGUUUUGACUCUUGUUGGUUGCCGACAUAGUCUUUUGACUCUUUUCGCAUCUAUAACUACUAGAAAAACCGGGACGUGAACUGUGGUGGGCUGAGUAUAUUGGUUUUAUAAGCAACACCGUACUUACCACAUUUAUAUUAAUUUUUUUGGCACUAGGACCAACUAAUAAAUGUGAGUUUCAUUUUUAUUAAAAAUUGAUAUAAAUAUAGUAUGAAAAAUGUGGUAAAAAUAACGUUUUGUAGUUUUAUUUGAGUGUGGGGGCAUGUACCCAGUCUUGCCUUGGCUAGCUCGAAGAGGUCUUUUAGUGUGUCGAAAACGAACGUUGCACUAAAUGUAAUAAUAUAACUAAUUAAUUUUUUUUAAAUUCUAACCAACUGUAUUAUAGAAGUUAGUGUAGACAUAUUGUGAUAUCGAAAAAUUUCUCCCAGCGACAAAAUAGAGAGUACGUAAGCAAUGAUUCAUGGGAGAGCCAUAUAAUAUUUAAGUUUUAUAUAUAUACAUCCUUUUGCCGUACUCUUUUUCGCAUUUUGCAGUUUAAUACGUAGUUCAAAUUAAGCAUUUUUAUCCCAUAGAAGAAUAUCACUAUAUGUAUGUGUGUGGUUGAUGUGCAAAGAAAGUAGGAAGUAGAAAGUAGAAAGUAGAAACCAGAAAGAGUGAAAGAACAACCGAGAAAGAUGAAGAAAGUGGAACUAGUGUUCAUCCCAGCACCAGGAGCAGGCCACCUUGUACCAACGCUGCAAUUCGCAAAGCGUUUGAUCGAUCGCAACGACAGAAUUUCGAUCACCAUUCUUGCCAUCCAGUCAUUCUACCCAACCACUCUAAGUUCAUACACAAAAUCGAUUGCAGCCUCAGAACCCCGAAUCCGAUUCAUUGAUGUCCCACAACCUCAAUAUCGACCUCCGCAAGAGAUGUACAAGUCACGAGCAAAGAUCUUCUCUCUUUACAUUGAGAGUCACGUCCCCAGUGUCAAGAAAAUCAUCACCAACCUCGUCUCCUCUAGUGCUAAUAGUUCAGAUUCGAUUCGUGUUGCUGCUUUGGUAGUUGAUUUAUUCUGUGUGUCCAUGAUUGAUGUGGCCAAAGAACUCAAUAUUCCUUCUUAUCUUUUCCUGACAAGCAAUACAGGAUAUCUAGCUUUCAUGCUCAACCUUCCAAUUCUUCAUGAAAAAAACCAGAUUGCUGAAGAAUCCGAUCCCGAUUGGUCAAUCCCAGGUAUGUUUCUGACAAUCACAAGUGUUUUUUAAUGCGUUUAACAUGAAAAGUUACAAGUGUUUCUAAGUCAUAAAGACUCUUUCUGGAGAAGCACAUGCAAGUGGUUUCUUCACGAAGCAUUUCAAGUCAUUUUUCAGGAAGCAAUUGACUUUUUAAUAAACAAAAAUCAGCAUGUCAUAUGAAAUCAUUUCUAGCAUAGAUGUUUAGAGUAAAAGUGCUUUCUGCAAAAUGAAAUUUCACUGUAUCAAACGAGUACAAUGCUAUCUCCACCGAAAAAGACCAACAUGUCCAAUGUUUAAAGAUGCGCCCCCUUAGACUUCAUUGCAGUUGAAAAGUUGUGAUUUCUUGGAGUUUGAUUCUUACACUGAAAAUUUUCGACACUUAGGUAUUGUCCACCCGGUUCCUCCUAGAGUUUUGCCUGUGGCCUUGACAGACGGUAGCUGCUCCGCUUACAUCAAGUUGGCUUCAAGAUUUAGAGAGACUAGAGGCAUUAUAGUAAACACAUUUGUAGAGUUAGAGACACACGCUAUCACAUUGUUUUCCAAUGACGACCGAGUCCCUUCACUGUACCCAGUCGGGCCAGUGAUCGACCUGGAUGACGGUCAGGCACAUUCCAACCUAGACCAGGCACAGCGCGACAAGAUCAUCAAAUGGCUUGAUGACCAGCCUCAGAAAUCUGUUGUGUUUUUGUGUUUUGGUAGCAUGGGAAGCUUUGGGGCAGAGCAAGUGAAGGAAAUAGCUUUAGGGCUUGAACAAAGUGGGCAGAGGUUUUUAUGGUCCCUGCGCAUGCCGUCCCCCAAAGGCACCGUCCCAAGUGAUUGCUCAAAUCUUGAAGAAGUUUUGCCAGAUGGGUUCUUGGAGAGGACCAAUGGGAAGAAAGGGUUGAUAUGUGGGUGGGCCCCACAGGUGGAGGUCCUGACCCACAGUGCAACCGGAGGGUUCUUGUCGCACUGCGGGUGGAACUCGAUCUUGGAGAGCUUGUGGCAUGGCGUCCCUAUUGCGACGUGGCCCAUGUAUGCAGAGCAGCAGCUCAAUGCUUUCUGGAUGGUGAGGGAGUUGGGGAUGGCGUUGGAGAUGAGGCUGGAUUACAAGACAGGCAGCGCUGACGUGGUGGGGGCGGACGAGAUUGAGAGGGCUGUGGUUGGUGUGAUGGAGAAGGAUAGUGAGGUGAGGAAGAAGGUGGAAGAGAUGGGAAAGAUGGCUAGAAAAGCUGUGAAGGAUGGAGGGUCUUCAUUUGCUUCUGUUGGGAGAUUUAUUGAGGAUGUGAUUGGUGAGAAUUAGGGUUUUAAGUAGUGGUUGUUAAUUUUUUAAGUUUAAGAACUCAUGAAUGUACUAAUUUUUCCUUGUUCUUGUAUGUUGAUUGAUGCGAUGAAAGUUAAGCACGCACAUUAAACCCUAUUUUGACAAUUGUAGUAUAUGUAUAAGUACGGAUUAUUCUGGACCGGGGAUUAGGAGGGAUUGCUAAUCUAAACUAAACUGACUUACAAAAAGAAACUUAAAAACACUUAACUAGACUCUAUAGACUCAAAACACUUAAAAACACAAACUAAAACAAAUUCUAACUAAUUAGACACACUAAAGUAAAGGGGAAUUGAGUUUUGGACGAAUUUGAAAUAAACAAGCAAGUUAUAAAACUAGGCAGAUUCUAAAAUGAAUUUGAGAAAUAAAAUGAUGGAUGAAUUAGUUAGAGGUCCAUUCUUCACACAUGACACUCUUGUACAUGAAUCGAUUUCCAAUUGCUUUUUAAUAAACUAUUAUGCUGAACACCCCAGAUUAACCGUGAUGCACAAAUUAACCAUCAGAUUUUCAUUUACUCAUUGAAUUGGAUGAAUGCAUGCGACAACCUAAAUCAUUAUCUAAAAGUCCCCUAUAUGAAUGCAUAAUAGAGAUACAAUCAGAGAUCAUUACGUUCAAUGAAAAUCAUAAGUGUUGACGAGGCAAUUAUAACUAUGAAUGCAUGAUACAAUUGCCAAGAAUUCAAUUAACGUGAUUGUGAUAAACAACCUUUACUACUCAUGAAUAUAAACUUGUAACGAUUAGGUGAAACUCAUUUAUAUUCUAGCAUCUAAUUCAUGCAUGAAAAUUAAGUAUGCAUCCUUAAUAAACAUACAAGAAUCAGUUAUGAAUAAAAUAGAUAAUUGAAUUGCAAUCACAACUUAUCAAAUCACAAUUGGAAGAAAUCAAUUCAUAUCUCAAGCAUGUUCAUGGCUUCAAACUUCCCCCUAACUAAAUGGGGGUUUAGCCACUCAUAAUUGCAACAAAAUCAGAAAAUGAAUUUAACAUUGAAAACAAAAGAAAGAAAACACUUAAACGCUCAAACGAUUCAAGUUGACAGCACGCACGUCCAAGCAUUUUCUUUUCCUUCCUUUACUACGGCACAAGGUGUUGGUAAAUGUUUGAAGGUUUGUUUGUAUGGAGGAAUGGAUGUAAAUAUGAAUGGAUGUGUUUGGAUGAAGGUUGUAUUGAAAUGGGAGUGAAUGAUCUAAAAAAAUAUAUGAACUAAAUUUAUGUUACACACACACUUCCUUUUAUAGAGGAAGUGCAAGACAAUGGAGGGGGACAUAGAGUGGUGUUGAAAUGAUUCAAAGGUGAAAGUGAAGUAAUGAUGCAAAGGUGAAAGUGAAAGUGAAGUAAUGAUGCAAAACAUGGGUAAAAUGGAGUGGUGUUGAAAUGAUUCAAAGGUGAAAGUGAAAGUGAAGUGGUGUUGAAAUGAUUCAAAGGUGAAAGUGAAGUAAUGAUGCAAAGGAUGAGGGGUAAAAUGGAGUGGUGUUGAAAUGAUUCAAAGGUGAAAGUGAAGUAAUGAUGCAAAGCAUGAGGGGUAAAAUGGAGUGGUGUUGCAACAAUGAAUGCAAGUAGGGAACAUGAAUGAUUGUGCACAUGGUAGAGAAAGGAAAGAGAGGUGGAAUGGUGUAGAAAUGAGUCAAGGGUUAAGGUGGAUUGAUGAUUGAUGCAAGAAAUUUGGAAUGAUGGAGGGAACAAGGGUGGUGCUCGGCAAUGAGUGAAUGAAAUAGACAAGGAAUGUUGUUGGAACUUAGGGACAUUGAGGAUUAGGAAAGAUUAGAUCAAAAUAAGGUAAUCUUGACUCAUGUUUCUUCUUUGGUUGCUGAGCUCUUUGUCAUUAAUUAUUCUUUAUUUUUAACACAUUUCAAGCCUCUUUAUUCUUCAAUUUCGUCCAUCCACCUUGCUCCAUGCAUGUGCUAUCCAUUCCAAGCCCAAAACUGCUCCAAAAUGCAGCAAAAUUGUACCUUAUUGCUUUAUAAGGCCUAUGGACCUACAAACACACGAAAAUAACUUAAAAUACAUAAUUAACUAAGAAAUAACAACAUAAAUGAAUGAGAACAAGCUAACUCAGUUGCAUAAAUAUGCUCCUAUCAUUGAUUAUGAAUUUAUCAGCUUGUAAUUUAUAUGUUUUAGUUCUACAAUGAUAAAUCAAACAAAACGAUUUUGUAAAUUUGUUAGGAAAGAGGGUUUUGGAGUUUGUGACAUUGAGCCCCCACGUUGUCGGAUGAGAUUUAAGUUCAAAUCUCGCGGAUGAAAGUAGUUGAAUAACAUUGCUUACAGAAAACGGGAUUUUGUAAAUUCAUCUUCAUACCCUGCUUCUUUGUGUAAACAUGUAUCAAGCCACCAAGACAAUUGCUCUCAAUUGAGCACAGGCUGCCAGAGUACUAACUAGAGUGACUUCGUCAGGUUUCGGGCUCUUCCUUUUCUGCAAGUCAUGAAAAUCGCCAAAGCCUCCUUUGGCUUGUCACUUUGUUCAUAAGACGAAAUGAGGACAUUCCAUGCAGCAAUGUCUUGACCAGGCAUUGCAGCGAAAACCCACCAAGCCUCAUCAUAAUUUCCUGACUGAACAUACCCAUCAAGCAUUGUAGUCCACGAGAAAAUAUCCUUCUCCGACAUCCUAUCAAACAAUCUUUUCGCUUCCUCAAUGCUCCCACAUUUCACACACAUAUCAAGCAUAGCAUAGCAUUGUUCAAAGUCAAGUUCUCUCCAUUUUCAUUCCUUUCAAUACAAGAACAAACCCACCUCCCAAACUCCAAAUCCACCUUCUUUGCGCAAGCUGACAACACACUCACCAUCAUUCGGCUUCACAUUCUCCUCAUCCAUCUCCUUAAACAACUCCAAGGCUUCCUCUGGACAGUUCCUCUGCGCAAAAGCCGUGAUCAUAGAAUUCCAAGACACAACAUCUUUCUUAGUAGUCUUCACGAAGACCCACCAUGCGAAAUCCAAAUCCUCGCAUGACCCAUAGAAAUGAACCAGAGAAUUGAGAAUAUCAACAUCCGAACCAAGCGAGGCCUUUAUCACCAUGCCAUGAAACCCUCUUCUGAGCUUCAAAACUCGGAGCUCUGAAGCCGCCUUGAUCACAAACGGGUAAGUAAACUUAUUGGGACUUUCCACACAGCAAUAAAGCAUUUCCAGAAGUACAAGGAUGCUUUCAGUCGGGUCGGUGCUCGACGCAUAAGCGAGUAUGAGGGUAUUCCAAGAUAAGAGAUUUGGUUGAGGAAUUUGAUCGAACACUUGGCAUGCAUAGCGAGGCUGGAGCUGGAGAAGAGGGCACAGGUGGUGAUAAGCUUGCUGGUGGAGUAAGGGUCGGAGAGAAGGCCUGUACAGAGCAUUUGGACGUGGACUUGCUUCAGCUGCUUGAAGCUGGUGCAGUGGUCGAUUGAGGAAAGAGGUGGGUCGCUUGAGAAAUGAAGGUCGUUAGUGGCGGUUGGGGAUGGAAGGUUUGGUAGGUGACGUGGCAGAGAGAUAAGGUGGGUGCUUAGAGUUGCCAUCUCUUCUAUAGUCACUCAAGCUCGUGGUUUUUUAAGAGCAACUCCAGCGUGAGAGCUAUUUCCAGGCUAUUCACUAUUUAAUCCAUCUAAUCAAUAGUAAUUACCCUUAAUAAAUAGUAAUUACCUUAGCAAUUGUUUUUUGCAUCUCCACCCCUGCACUGAAUAACCUUGGCAAUUGGCAAUAAAAUAUUAAUAUAUUUUUUUUAAAUUAAUAUUAUAUUAUUAAUUUAUAUUUUCUUUUUGGUCUUCCCGAAACUUCUACCAUUUAUCUUUCGUCUUCCUUCCCACUCUCUCACUCCCCUCCCUUCUCUCCUCUACGCCCACCUAACCCUCUUCGAUCCCCUGCACAUCCAACAUUCCCCUCCUUCUUCGAUUCCACUCUUCUUUCCCCUGAUCCUUCCCUACCCUACCCACCUCUAGCUCACCACCAUACCCUAACCCCACCCAUUUGACGGCCGGUGGUCAACAAAACCCAGAUUUACGGCCAGAGAGUCGGUUUGACGGCGGUGGAGAACAAAACCCAAUGGUCGGAGAAGACGGUGGUGGGGAGCACAAACCAAGCGGCCAAAUCAAUUUUUUAAUAUUUUCAAUUUUUCUUUAAAUUUUUGCGUUGAAUAUGGCCUCUGUUAUGGAAUAUUUGGUCUGAUUUGGAUUUUUUUCUACAUUUAUUGUGGAUUCGGAUCCCAUAUGCCAUCAGUCUCGGCGACGAACUUCGGCGAGAGCUGUUAAGUUUGAAGCCAGAGUUUUACAUUUUUUUAAUUUUUUAUUAAUUUUUUUUAUAUUUUUAUUAAUUUUAUAUUAUGGAUGACGUCGUCCUGACGUCAGCCCACGUCACAUGGCCCUCAGGCUCUCGGGCUGGCAAUCCUUGCUGGGCAUGUUGCUCGGGCCUCGCCUGUCCCUUGGGCUCCCAUACGCUAGACCCUAUCCCCCCAGCAAUUUGGCCCUGUUUGCUGGCUUGUCCCUCGAGUAACCUCCCCCGUUGGAAUUGCUCUAAUUGCUCGAAGGAGGUUGUAGCUUGUGAGAACGCUCCUUAAGUUUUUUGAGGAGGAUUGACCUCAUGGAAUAAGGAUUCUCUCUGGAUCCUCAAAUCGUGUUCGUACAUCGUAUAUUAUGUGGUCAAUUUUUAUCAAGUACUAUUCAUAUUUAAUUUUAAAUAAAAGUAUUUAAAAUAAUUUAUACGAUGAAUAGACACGAUUUGAAGAUCUCUAAGAUCCUCACGAAGAAAAUCCAGAGAGAAUCCUCAUUCUUUAGACUUAACCAAUGAACCUAUUUAAAGUGACUCAUUUUGUACUAGAGAAGCAUGUGCAUGAACAAUGGAUUCAUUUUACCUUCUUAGGUGGGGAAGUUCUAGAAACAUUUCCAUACUUUGUGCUUGAAGUAUUUCACUUAAUUUUCUCUACAGUAUUGAACUUUGGCGAUAUUUAUUAUGUACUUUUAGGACCCGAGUCUCCAUUAUUUGAUUAUUCACUUAAUCUUGUUAGUUAUAGGUGCUUUUCUUCUAGUAUUCAAGACUCUAAGAACACAUCUCUUCUUGUGGAUACACAUAAUAUUUUGAGUUUAGUGAAUAUAAGAUUCGAGUGAAUGGAAAAGAAAAAACAAAAGAUCAAUUCCACUUUGAAGAAACACAAUAUAAAAAUAGACUUGUUUAUAAAAUUUAUUAUAUAGAUGAGAAUCAAGAACAAGAAAAUUCAAAGUCAAAACUAUUUAAAAAAAAGAUAUUUUUUCGUUCGAAAAACGUAUUGUGAUUAUUUUUUUUUUUACAAUAAUCGUUAAAAUCGCCCAUUACGAUAUAUAGAAAACAAUCGAUUUGAAAAGUUUGAAAAUUUUGAAAUGUCACAAAUUUUUUUUAGUAUGUCAAAGUGAUGGAAAAGAAAGAAUAUCUUUUACAUAUCCACCAAGUUUCUAUUUUUGAAAUGAUACAAAGAGAUGUCUCUGUUCACAAAAGAAGUGUUCCCCUUUUAAUGAAUUUUUAUAAGGGUAAUGCAAUGACGUGUCACCAAUAGAAAGUGACAAUAGAAAGUAAACACAUUAAUCAAUACUUAAGUAAUAAUUCAAUCAUCAACAACUACAUCAUUGUAUUUAUAAAAUUUAAUUUAAAAUUUUAAUCUCUCUAGUAUUACUCUUUUUAUAAUCACUAAAGUUGCAAUAUCCUACGUGAUAAUUUCAAAUGAUCAGUAGGCGGUAAUGCAAUAUCCUACAAAAUAAUUGUGGUUAGGUACCAUCUAGCCAGAAAACUGAACUUUUAUGUGUUUUUUGUGUGGCUAGUUUUUCUGUUCUUGUUGGUUGCUGCCAUGGUCUUUUGACUCUUUUCGCAUCUAUCACUACAAGAAAAACUGGGACGUGAACUGGUGGGCUUAUAUUCAUUGUGGUGGGUUGAGUAUAUUGGUUUUACAAGCAAUGUUAUACUUACCACAUUUAUAUUACAUUUUUCAUGGUAGUAGGACCAACUAAUACAUGUGAGCCUUAUUUUUAUUAAAAAUAAUACAAAUAUGAUAUGAUAAAAAUAACAUUUUUUUAGUUUUAUUUGAGUGUGGGGGCAUGUACCCAGUCUUGCCUUAUAGCUAGGAGAGGUAUUUUAGUGUGUCAAAAACAAACGUUGCACUAAGUGUAAUAAUAUAACUAAUCGAAUUUCUUAUUUUAAAGUUCUAACCAAUUGUAUUAUAAAAAUGAGUGUAGCCGUGUUGCUGGUAUUGAAAAAAUUCUCCCAGCGGCAAAAUAGACAGAGUACUUAAGCAAUGAUGUAGGGGAGGGCCAUAUAAUGUAUUAGUUUAAUAUAUGCAAUCAAAUCCUUUUGCCGUACACUUUUUCCGCAUUUUGCAGUUUAAUACGUAGUUCAAAUCAAGCAUUUGUAUCUAAUAGAAGAAGAACAUCACUAUAUUUAUGUGUGGUUGAUGUGCAAAGAAAGUAGUAAGUAGAAACCAGAAAGAGUGAAAGAACAACCGAGAAAGAUGAAGAAAGUGGAACUCGUGUUCAUCCCAUCACCAGGAGCAGGCCACCUUGUACCAACGUUGCAAUUCGCAAAGCGUUUGAUCGAUCGCAACGACAGAAUUUCGAUCACCAUUCUUGCCAUCCAGUCAUCCUUCCCAACCACUCUAAGUUCCUACACAAAAUCGAUUGCAACCUCAGAACCCCGAAUCCGAUUCAUUGAUGUCCCACAACCUCAAGAUCGACCUCCGCAAGAGAUGUACAAGUCACGAGCAAAGUUCUUCUCUCUUUACAUUGAGAGUCACGUCCCCAGUGUCAAGAAAAUCAUCACCAACCUCGUCUCCUCUAGUUCUAAUAGUUCAGAUUCGAUUCGUGUUUCUGCUUUGGUAGUUGAUUUCUUCUGUGUGUCCAUGAUUGAUGUGGCCAAAGAACUCAAUAUUCCUUCUUAUCUUUUCCUGACAAGCAAUGCAGGAUAUCUAGCUUUCAUGCUCCACCUUCCAAUUCUUCAUGAAAAAAACCAGAUUGCUGUUGAAGAAUCCGAUCCUGAAUGGUCAAUCCCAGGUAUGUUUGUGACAAUCACAAGUUCUUUUGGAUGCGUUUAACAUAAUUUUUUUAAGUGUUUCUGAGUCAUAAAAGCUCUUUCUAGAGAAGCACAUGCAAGUGGUUUCUUCACAAAGCAUUUCAAGUCCCUUUUGAGGAAGCAAUUGACUUUAUAAUAAACAAAAAUCAACGUGUCAUAUGAAAUCAUUUCUAGCAUAGGUGCUUACGAGUAAAAGUGCUUUGCAGAAGAAAUUUCACUGUAUCAAACGAGUACAAUGCUAUCUCCCCCCAAAAAGACAAACAUGUCCAAUGUUUAAAGACGCGUUGUAACAACAUAUUUUUAGAUUUCAUUGCAGUUGAAAAGUUUCGAUUUCUUGGAGUUGGAUUCUUACACUGAAAGUUUUCGACACUUAGGUAUUGUCCACCCGGUUCCUCCUAGAGUUUUUCCAGUGGCUUUGACAGAUGGUAGCUGCUCCGCUUACAUCAAGUUGGCUUCAAGAUUUAGAGAGACUAGAGGCAUUAUAUCAAACACAUUCGUAGAGUUAGAGACACAUGCUAUCACAUUGUUUUCCAAUGACGACCGAGUCCCUCCAGUGUACCCAGUUGGGCCAGUGAUCGACCUGGAUGAUGGUCAGGCACAUUCCAGCCUAGACCAAGCACAGCGCGACAAGAUCAUCAAAUGGCUUGAUGACCAGCCUCAGAAAUCUGUUGUGUUUUUGUGUUUUGGUAGCAUGGGAAGCUUUAGGGCAGAGCAAGUGAAGAAAAUAGCUUUAGGGCUUGAACAGAGCGGACAAAGGUUUUUAUGGUCCCUGCGCAUGCCGUCACCCAAAGGCACAGUCCCAAGUGAUUGCUCAAAUCUUGAAGAAGUUUUGCCAGAUGGAUUCUUGGAGAGGACCAAUGGGAAGAGAGGGUUGAUAUGUGGGUGGGCCCCACAGGUGGAUAUCCUGGCCCACAGUGCGACCGGAGGGUUCUUGUCACACUGCGGGUGGAACUCGAUCUUGGAGAGCUUGUGGCAUGGCGUCCCUAUUGCGACGUGGCCCAUGUGUGCAGAGCAGCAGCUCAAUGCUUUUAGGAUGUUGAGGGAGUUGGGGAUGGCGUUGGAGAUGAGGCUGGAUUACAUGACCGGCAGCGCUGACGUGGUGGGGGCGGACGAGAUUGAGAGGGCUGUGGUUGGUGUGAUGGAGAAGGAUAGUGAGGUGAGGAAGAAGGUGGAAGAGAUGGGAAAGUUGGCUAGAAAAGCUGUGAAGGAUGGAGGGUCUUCAUUUGCUUCUGCUGGGAGAUUUAUUGAGGAUGUGAUUGGUGAGAGUUGGGGUUUUAAGUAGUAUGGGUUGCUAAUUUUGUAAGUUUAAGAAAUCUUGAAUGUACUAAUAUCUCCAUGUUCUCGUAUGCCGUUUAUGAAUUUAUCAGCAAGUAAUUUAUAUGUUUUCCUUCUACAAUGAUAAAGCAAACGAAACGAGUUUGUAAAUUUGUUAGGGAAGAGGGACUUUGGAGUUUGUGACAUUUGAGUUCCGACGUUGAAUCUCGCCAAUAAAGUAGUUGAAUAAGAUCUCGGAAAAAAAAAAAUGAGAAAAAUUGGAGUUGAAUAAUACUAUGCCUAUAUUAAAAGAUUUUGGUUAUCACAUAUUAAUCAAUGAUAUAAAUGCAUAUACAAGGAUAGAUGAGAAUCAUAUGAGAAAAGAUCAAGAAGCUUCCAGAUUUUUACAAAUUGACAUCUUUUCUUGCAGACCAAGAACUUCAGUUUAUCAUUUACUCAUUUCUUGCUAUCAAAUUAACCAUAACUUCACUACCCCAAAUCAAACCUAUUAAUCUCCUCGAAGAAGAAACGAAAUGAAACCAACCAUCUCAGUAAUGUCAAUUAUUUGCUAGUAACACGGUGUCGACGCUUAAUCCUCUGCGGUUUCAACUAAAUUGAAGAAACAAUGACACAUGUUUGGGUUACAUGAUGCAAAUGAACAAAUUCGGUAUAUCCUGUAUAUCGGUUUCAUCAUGCUUUAAUAGAGAUUCAAACAGAUUCAACUCAAUAUUAACAAACUAACAAACUCUUUGCAUUUGGAUGAUUAAGUUUAAAAUGAGGAUUAAUAUCGUUUUGUUUACGAGGAUUUUUACUGAGUGAACGAAAUAACAUUUUCAUUUUGGUGACUUUGAUCCAACACAGUUGAUUUCACUAAUCCAGACCUAUCUUCCUCUAAAUUCUCUAAACCAUACAAUCCUAGUGCAACCAAACUCGAAUCUCGUCAAUGAUGAGUUAGUUACCAAUUUGUCCUCCAAGUGGGCUUAUAAGUUACAUGCAUUGUGUGGGGCUGGGACUAUAUUGAUUUUUGAUUCACGUACUAGUUUAAUACAUUAAUUACAUUAACAUUGAACAAAAGUUUAUGCAGUGUGGGGGCAUAUGCCCACUCUUGGCCUUAGGUAGGUCCGCCAGUGAGAAAAAUGAAAAUAAUAGUAGGUGAGUAAUGACGUAGGGGAGUAGAAAAUUUUCAUUGUGACGGGAAUACGGAUGGUACACCACGUGUUUUUAUGUAAGUGGUGAGAAAUUUUAUUUUUUGAGAGAUUAAUUUUUUAACACACAUAUCUCACCAUUUGUAUAGUAACACGUAAUGUACCACCUUGUGUAGUGAUUACACUGGAAAAUCUCUGGUACAGAAGGGCCAUAUAAUAUUAACACAUGCAAUCAAUCCUUGUUGUUUAUUUCUGUCCUUUAAUUAUGUAUAUUAUUGUAUUAAUGCGUAAUUCAAAUUAAGCAGUAUAAUAUAAUUUCUCCGGUGUGAGGCAGAUUGUUUGCCCCUGUAUAGAUGCCCUUCUAAUCUUCUUUUAUUUUGUGUGGUCACGGUUAAUUCACGUUCAUAUUUUAUAUUAAUUUUUUUAUAAUGAUAAUAAGACAAAAAAUAAUAAGAAUAUAAAAUAUUGACGUGAUUUAACCGUAACUGCACAAAUAAAAAAAAUAAAAAAGGUAUCUAAACAAAUAGGAGGGUAGACAAUCUUCCUUUUUUGCCCACUCUUGGCGUUAGGUAGGUCCGUCAGUGAGAAAAAUGACAAUAAUAGUACGUGAGCAAUGACGCGAGGGAGGGCCAUAUAAUAUUAAGUUUAACAAAUGCGGUCAAUCCUUUUUCUGUACUCUUUGUCUCCUUUUCACACUGUUUAUGUUAUUUGAUUAUGUAUAUUAUUGUUAUAAUGCGAAAUUAAGCACUAUGAUAUAAACCAGAAAGAGUGAAAGAACAAGUCAGAAAGAUGAAGAAAGUGGAACUAGUGUUCAUCCCAGCACCAGGAGAAGGCCACCUUGUAUCAGCACUGCAGUUCACAAGGCGUUUGAUCGAUCGCGAUGACAGAAUUUUGAUCACCAUUCUUGCCAUCCAGUCACCCUUCCGGACCACUAUAAAUUCAUACACAGAAUCGAUUGCAGCCUCAGAACCCCGAAUCCGAGUCAUUGAUGUCCAAGAACCUCAAGAUCAUCAACCUCCACAAGAGACGCACCAGUCACCAGAAAAAUUCAUCUGUCUUUACAUUGAGGGUCACGUCCCCAAUGUCAAGAAAAUCAUCACCAACCUCGUCUCCUUCAAUGCUAAUAGUUUGGAUUCGAUUCGUGUUGCUGCAUUGGUGGUUGAUUUCUUCUGUGUGUCCAUGAUUGAUGUGGCCAAGGAACUCAAUCUUCCUUCUUAUCUUUUCAUGCCAAGCAAUGCAGGAUAUCUAGCUCUCAUGCUCCAACUUCCAAUUCUUCAUGAAAAAAACCAG
rnacentral:lncRNA from 1 species